AUGUGUUUUUGCUGCAAUAGUCACAGCGAAGAACAGGCACCUCUCACAGCCGCCGCCUUCUCCCUACCGCACACAGAUCAAACAGCGAUUUUCAUUAUCCCCGCUAUACAGAUGAAGGGCCUGAGGCCCAGAGAGGGAACAUGGCUUGUGGCCAACAUGUUACGUGGAUCCCAAGCAGCGUGGUCACGACCUGGACUGGGUGGUUUGAAUUCAGGCAUCUCUACAGGUGGACCUCCGCUUACUGUGCUUCACAACAAAUUGAAGUGGCCUGGAACUGAUCCAAAAAUCUCUCCGAGAUCUGCUUGUACCUGAGCCCUAACCCAUAGAAAUGUCUCUCUCCCCUCUCCCCCCCUCCUCCUGACUCCCCUGAAGCCUGCACCUUCUGAUGCAGGAAUUCAAGACAUGCAGGUAUCUUUAGAACCCUUCCCCACCGUCCCUGUGUCAGAGGUCAAGAUACCUGGAUCUGUGAGGAAUGAAAUGAAGUGGGUUUAAUAAUUCAGUUUUGCUUUCCUAAGAAAACCAUGCCUUCCUUUUUGCCUUCCCUCUCCCUCUAAGCUGCUCUGUACACAGACUUGUUUACAUUUUAGCCUUUUCCCCUAGGUGGUGCCCAGGAGAGUCCAGGUGGUUCGAGUCAGUUCAGUAACCAAGUGCUGAGUCGGAAGGCCUGGGAAGGGAGACCUUAGUCAGACCCCAGGGUUCACAUCCCAGCUCUCCCAGGAGGUAGCGCAGAUUGUGACCAAGUGGCUUCAUCUCCCCUCUCCUGCGUCCUCAUCUGUAAAAGGCAGGUUAACAAUAACAGCACCUUCUCCGAGGCUCCUUCUGAGGGUAGAAUGAGAUGGAUGCCCCUCUGGCAUACCGCAAGAGCUCAGUAAUGUUUGGUGUUGCCUUUACAGUAAGAGCUCAAUAAUGUUUGCUUUUAUUCUUAGCAAAAGUGAGGUCCGACUGCUUGCCUCUUUGAAACCGAUAAAGAGACAAGCUUGGUGGAAAGUUUACUUUAUUUUGGAGGCUGGCAAAUGGUGGUUGGAAGUCGGGGGGCGGACUCCUGUCCAAAGGUCAGCUCCCCUUCCUGGACAUCCAGUGGGCAAGAGCUUUUAUAGACACAGGGAGGGGCUGCAGGCAGAAACUGC
rnacentral:lncRNA from 1 species